CUGGCUGCAGCAAGGCUCAGGCCUUACCCCAGCCCAGCCAUGGGGGUUGGGGCUGACCCAGCUGCCCUCACCACCUUCAAGUGAGGCAUUGAGGGCUGCACUAAAUAACUCUGGAGUAAGUGCAGAUGGAGUAGGACGUGAAAAGUACAACUUCUUGCUGAAUUGUGCAGAUCAUAGCGAGGCUGUUGUGAGAAUCCCAUGCUCCAGCGAUCCCAGGUAGCUGAAGUGGCCUUUGGGGAUUUUGGAUCAUAUCUGACAUUGUUCCAGCCUGGGCUGAGUAGACACAUAUAGCCC
rnacentral:lncRNA from 1 species